rnacentral:rRNA from 1 species
GAACGCUAGCGACAGGCCUAACACAUGCAAGUCGAGGGGCAGCGCGGAGUAGCAAUACUUGGCGGCGACCGGCGCACGGGUGAGUAACACGUAUGCAACCAACCCAGUAACAGGGGGAUAACCCGGAGAAAUCCGGACUAAUACCGCAUAAGACCACGAUAUCGCAUGAUAGUAGAGGUCAAAUAUUUAGUAGGUUAUGGACGGCAUGCGUCUGAUUAGCUGGUGGCGGGUAACGCCCACCAAGGCAUCGAUCAGUAGGGGUUCUGAGAGGAAGGUCCCCCACAUUGGAACUGGAGACACGGUCCAAACUCCUACGGGAGGCAGCAGUGAGGAAUAUUGGUCAAUGGGCGAAAGCCUGAACCAGCCAUGUCGCGUGAAGGGAAUGAAGGUCCUAUGGGUUGUAAACUUCUUUUGCAGGAGGGUAAAGUGAGCUACGUGUAGUUCAUUGCAAGUACCCUGCGAAUAAGCAUCGGCUAACUCCGUGCCAGCAGCAGC